GGGGAUGUGGCUCAGGGUAGAGUGUCUGCCUGGCAUGCACAAGGCCCUGGAUUUGACCUCCAGUACCA
rnacentral:tRNA from 1 species